GCGCUUGUGAUGUAGUGGUUAGCAUAUUGCUCUUAUACUUGCUUCGCUUAGCGAAGCCUGUAUGGUAGAAAUGCAAAGGUCGUGAGUUCAAUCCUCACCUGGCGCA
rnacentral:tRNA from 1 species